rfam:Ciona savignyi cont_31616, whole genome shotgun sequence.
UCCUCGUUAGUAUAGUGGUGAGUAACCCCGCCUGUCACGCGGGAGACCGGGGUUCGAUUCCCCGACGGGGAG